GCACUUCGGGAUAAGCCUGGGAAACUGGGUCUAAUACCGGAUAGGACCAUUUAGCGCAUGCUUUAUGUGGGAAGCUUUUGCGGUGUGGGAUGGGCCCGCGGCCUAUCAGCUAGUUGGUGGGGUGACGGCCUACCAAGGCGACGACGGGUAGCCGGCCUGAGAGGGUGUCCGGCCACACUGGGACUGAGAUACGGCCCAGACUCCUACGGGAGGCAGCAGUGGGGAAUAUUGCACAAUGGGCGCAAGCCUGAUGCAGCGACGCCGCGUGGGGGAUGACGGCCUUCGGGUUGUAAACCUCUUUCAGCAGGGACGAAGCGCAAGUGACGGUACCUGCAGAAGAAGCACCGGCAACUACGUGCCAGCAGCCGCGGUAAUACGUAGGGUGCGAGCGUUGUCCGGAAUUACUGGGCGUAAAGAGCUCGUAGGUGGUUUGUCGCGUUGUUCGUGAAAUCUCGCGGCUUAACUGUGAGCGUGCGGGCGAUACGGGCAGACUGGAGUACUGCAGGGGAGACUGGAAUUCCUGGUGUAGCGGUGGAAUGCGCAGAUAUCAGGAGGAACACCGGUGGCGAAGGCGGGUCUCUGGGCAGUAACUGACGCUGAGGAGCGAAAGCGUGGGGAGCGAACAGGAUUAGAUACCCUGGUGGUCCACGCCGUAAACGGUGGGAACUAGGUGUGGGUUUCCUU
rnacentral:rRNA from 1 species